UUUGAUGGCGACCGGCGCACGGGUGAGUAACACGUAUCCAACCUGCCGAUGACUCGGGGAUAGCCUUUCGAAAGAAAGAUUAAUACCCGAUGGCAUAGUUCUUCCGCAUGGUAGAACUAUUGAAGGAUUUCGGUCAUCGAUGGGGAUGCGUUCCAUUAGGUUGUUGGCGGGGUAACGGCCCACCAAGCCUUCGAUGGAUAGGGGUUCUGAGAGGAAGGUCCCCCACAUUGGAACUGAGACACGGUCCAAACUCCUACGGGAGGCAGCAUG
rnacentral:rRNA from 1 species